GAUGAACGCUGGCGGCGUGCUUAACACAUGCAAGUCGAACGAAGCACCAUGGAUAGAUUCUUCGGAUGAUAGAAAUGGUGACUGAGUGGCGGACGGGUGAGUAACGCGUGGGUAACCUGCCUCAUACAGGGGGAUAACAGUUAGAAAUGACUGCUAAUACCGCAUAAUGUGUUUUGGGGGCAUCCCUGAAACACCAAAGAUUUAUCGCUGAAAGAUGGGCUCGCGUCUGAUUAGCUAGUUGGUGGGGUAACGGCCUACCAAGGCGACGAUCAGUAGCCGGUCUGAGAGGAUGAACGGCCACAUUGGGACUGAGAUACGGCCCAG
rnacentral:rRNA from 1 species